AGUGAACGCUGGCGGUAGGCCUAACACAUGCAAGUCGAACGGCAGCACAGUAAGAGCUUGCUCUUACGGGUGGCGAGUGGCGGACGGGUGAGGAAUACAUCGGAAUCUACUUUUUCGUGGGGGAUAACGUAGGGAAACUUACGCUAAUACCGCAUACGACCUACGGGUGAAAGCAGGGGAUCUUCGGACCUUGCGCGAUUGAAUGAGCCGAUGUCGGAUUAGCUAGUUGGCGGGGUAAAGGCCCACCAAGGCGACGAUCCGUAGCUGGCCUGAGCGGAUGAUCGGCCACACUGGAACUAAGAAAGGGUCCGGACUCCUACGGGAGGCAGCAGUAGGGAAUCGUGGAGAAUGGGCGAAAGCCUGACGGAGCCAUGCCGAGUGAAUGAAGAAGGUCUUCGGAUUGUAAAACUCUGUUAUCGGGAAAGAAAAAAUGCAUAAGGAAAAACGGACGGCAUGACGGUACCUAAAGAGAAAGCAACGGCUAACUACGUG
rnacentral:rRNA from 1 species